rnacentral:rRNA from 1 species
CGGUGUUCAACUGGCGUGCCCGCGGGACGUCCUGCCGGUGAGCUCAGCCCGCGAGGGCGGCUCAACUUGAAAUCCCAUCGCGGUGCUCUUCAUUGAGUGUCGAGGUGGGCCGGCACGAUUACUUUUGAACAAAUUAGAGUGCUUAAAGCAGGCUAAAAUUUUGCCUGAAUACUGUGUAUAUGGAAUAAUGGAAUAGGACCUCGGUUCUAUUUUGUUGGUUUUCGGAACCCCGAGGUAAUGAUUAAUAGGAACGGAUGGGGGCAUUCGUAUUGCGACGUUAGAGGUGAAAUUCUUGGAUCGUCGCAAGACGGACUAAAGCGAAAGCAUUUGCCAAAAACGCUUUCAUUGAUCAAGAACGAAAGUUAGAGGUUCGAAGGCGAUCAGAUACCGCCCUAGUUCUAACCAUAAACUAUGCCAGCUAGCGAUCCGCCGACGUCCCUCUGAUGACUCGGCGGGCAGCUUCCGGGAAACCAAAGCUUUUGGGGUUCCGGGGGAAGUAUGGUUGCAAAGCUGAAACUUAAAGGAAUUGACGGAAGGGCACCACCAGGAGUGGGAGCCCGGCGGCUUAAUUUGACUCAACACGGGAAACCUCACCAGGCCCAGACACUGGAAGGAUUGACAGAUUGAGAGCUCUUUCUUGAUUCAGUGGGUGGUGGUGCAUGGGCCGUUCUUAGUCGGUGGAGCGAUUUGUCAGGUUAAUUCCGAUAACGGACGAGACUCUGACCUGAUAACUAGACGCACUUGCGGCAUCUCAAAGGUCCGCCGGCGGCUGGCUUUGCGCCCGUCGUCGCGCGCGAUUUUUACUGCCGGCGUACAAUAAAUUCUUCUUAGAGGGACAAGUGG